AUUGAACGCUGGCGGCAUGCCUUACACAUGCAAGUCGAACGGCAGCACGGGUGCUUGCACCUGGUGGCGAGUGGCGAACGGGUGAGUAAUACAUCGGAACGUACCUUAUCGUGGGGGAUAACGCAGCGAAAGCCGUGCUAAUACCGCAUACGCCCCGAGGGGGAAAGCGGGGGAUCGCAAGACCUCGCGCGACUAGAGCGGCCGAUGCCUGGUUAGCUUGUUGGUGGGGUAAAAGCCCACCAAGGCGACGAUCAGUAGCUGGUCUGAGAGGACGAUCAGCCACACUGGGACUGAGACACGGCCCAGACUCCUACGGGAGGCAGCAGUGGGGAAUUUUGGACAAUGGGGGCAACCCUGAUCCAGCAAUGCCGCGUGAGUGGAGAAGGCCUUCGGGUUGUAAAGCUCUUUUGUCAGGGAAGAAACACCGGCUCUAACACAGUCCGGGAAUGACGGUACCUGAAGAAUAAGCACCGGCUAACUACGUGCCAGCCGCCGCGGUAA
rnacentral:rRNA from 1 species